CACCGCGGUUAUACGAGAGACCCAAGUUGUUAGCCCCCGGCGUAAAGAGUGGUUAAAGUUCAAAACACCAAACUGAGGCUGAACAUCUUCAAGGCAGUUAUACGCUCCCGAGGAUAUGAAAAUCAAUCACGAAAGUAGCCCCACUUUACUUGAACCCACGAAAGCUAAGGCA
rnacentral:rRNA from 1 species